rnacentral:snRNA from 1 species
AGGAUCGAACUCAAGUCUG